rnacentral:misc_RNA from 1 species
AGCAGCCGCGGUAAUUCCAGCUCCAAUAGCGUAUAUUAAAGUUGUUGCAGUUAAAAAGCUCGUAGUUGAAUUUCGAGAUCAAAUUGUUGGUCGUGCCUUGGUACGCACUGGCAUUAUUGGUUUCUCCCUUCUGACGAACCAUGAUGUCAUUAAUUUGGUGUCUUGGGGAAUCAGGACUGUUACUUUGAAAAAUUAGAGUGUUUAAAGCAGGCUCACGCUUGAAUACAUUAGCAUGGAAUAAUGAAAUAGGACGUUUGAUUCUAUUUUGUUGGUUUCUAGGAUCGACGUAAUGAUUAAUAGGGAUAGUUGGGGGCAUUAGUAUUCAAUUGUCAGAGGUGAAAUUCUUGGAUUUAUUGAAGACUAACUACUGCGAAAGCAUUUGCCAAGGAUGUUUUCAUUAAUCAAGAACGAAAGUUAGGGGAUCGAAGACGAUCAGAUACCGUCGUAGUCUUAACCAUAAACUAUGCCGACUAGGGAUCGGAUGAUGUUAAUUUUAUGACUCAUUCGGACG